AUUUACUAUCAGUGGAAACGAAACAAAAUUUCAAAAUAUGUUUGGCUGUUUUAUAACAGCGAUUGUGCUAUUUUAAUAAUUCUCGUAUUUAUAAUGCUAAUACAUAUAUGCCUGACCUUCUGACUUCACUGACUGCCUAAGCAGAUCUAGAUUUCCAUACGUACCCAAGGUGAAAGACUCAAGCUUAGGACUGCGUGGCAGCCGGUGUGACCAGAUGUGCAUGCUCUACGGUUACACUGUUAUGUAUUUGCUCACAAAUAAAACCAGUUUAAAUUCAAAUAUUGUAUGAAAAGAAGCCGGAAUUUACUAUUUGUGGGUGCUGCAGGACGACAAUCCGCCUUUUCAUCGACGAAAAUAAGAAUAUAUCUGUUUCAUCGAAAUCACCGAUAGUACCCUUGAUGGUUGUCUUUGACACUUCUAAUUGUAUGAAUUGCGAACACACACACAGAAUGCCAGAGCUCGUGAUCAUGAUAAGCUUGGUCCUCGUAGCCUUUGCUUGGAUUGGAGCAAACGUCAACAAUCUUCUGUUGAUGUACUUGGCCGCUCUUCUCAUUGCCAUUUGGACUGGUCUGCAUGGUAAACACGUCAAGAUCAUCAGCCGGAAAACUGUAUGCGGCAAACCGAAGCUGCAGUAGAGAGCCGAUCGCUUCUUAUACACCACAUACAUAAGAUCAUCGACUUGCCAUCAUAUGUGCCGAAAUAAACUAGAGAUUGUUGUUAUACUUUGCUCAUCGACACUAUGCCACUGCUACAUUCGAAGGAUGCGAAUAUAUUCUCCAGGGAGACUGUAGCGAUUCUGCAGCACUUGGAUAUGAAGCGAACCUAGAACGAAUGUUUCCGCUCAACAACAACCACUUAACAAUUACUUAUUACUAAUUACAUACAGGCUUCGAUCCAUUCAAUUUUGAAAUUCAAUAAAACGCAAAAUCGCUAAAAUUCCACGAACUAAAACAUGGUGUACGGGUCUUAUGACUAGCAACUAAUAUUCAGAAUGGCUCGUAUGUAUAUGAACAUGGUAUAUGAAUAAUGA